GACGAACGCUGGCGGCGUGCUUACCACAUGCAAGUCGAACGCUGAACCCGCUUCGGUGGGGGAUGAGUGGCGAACGGGUGAGUAACACGUGGGCAACCUGCCCCCGGCUCUGGGAUAACUCCAAGAAAUUGGGGCUAAUACCGGAUGUGACCGCUGGCCGCAUGGUCUGGUGGUGGAAAGGGUUUCCGGCUGGGGAUGGGCCCGCGGCCUAUCAGCUUGUUGGUGGGGUAGUGGCCUACCAAGGCGACGACGGGUAGCCGGCCUGAGAGGGUGACCGGCCACACUGGGACUGAGACACGGCCCAGACUCCUACGGGAGGCAGCAGUGGGGAAUAUUGCGCAAUGGGCGGAAGCCUGACGCAGCGACGCCGCGUGGGGGAUGACGGCCUUCGGGUUGUAAACCUCUUUCAGCAGGGACGAAGCGCAAGUGACGGUACCUGCAGAAGAAGCACCGGCCAACUACGUG
rnacentral:rRNA from 1 species